rnacentral:rRNA from 1 species
CCUACGGGUGGCAGCAGUGAGGAAUAUUGGUCAAUGGGCGCGAGCCUGAACCAGCCAAGUAGCGUGAAGGAUGACUGCCCUACGGGUUGUAAACUUCUUUUAUAAAGGACUAAAGUGAGGCACGUUUGCCUUUUUGCAUGUACUUUAUGAAUAAGGAUCGGUUAACUCGGUGCAAGCAACCGCGGUAAUACGGAGGAUCCGAGCGUUAUCCGGAUUUAUUGGGUUUAAAGGGUGCGUAGGCGGAAUAUAAAGUCAGCGUUAAAAAUUCGGGGCUAAACCCCGGCGUGCCGUUGAAACUGAUGUGCUAGAGUGCGCGAGAGGUAUGAGGAAUGCGUGGUGUAGCGGUGAAAUGCAUAGAUAUCACGCAGAACUCCGAUUGCGAAGGCAGCAUACCGGCGGGCAACUGACGCUGAAGCACGAAAGCGUGGGUAUCGAACAGGAUUAGAUACCCCUGUAGUC